rnacentral:rRNA from 1 species
AACGAACGCUGGCGGCAGGCUUAACACAUGCAAGUCGAGCGCCCCGCAAGGGGAGCGGCAGACGGGUGAGUAACGCGUGGGAACGUACCCUUUGCUACGGAAUAGCUCCGGGAAACUGGAAUUAAUACCGUAUGUGCCCUACGGGGGAAAGAUUUAUCGGCAAAGGAUCGACCCGCGUUGGAUUAGCUAGUCGGUGGGGUAAUGGCCUACCAAGGCGACGAUCCAUAGCUGGUCUGAGAGGAUGAUCAGCCACAUUGGGACUGAGACACGGCCCAAACUCCUACGGGAGGCAGCAGUGGGGAAUAUUGGACAAUGGGCGCAAGCCUGAUCCAGCCAUGCCGCGUGAGUGAUGAAGGCCUUAGGGUUGUAAAGCUCUUUCACCGGAGAAGAUAAUGACGGUAUCCGGAGAAGAAGCCCCGGCUAACUUCGUGCCAGCAGCCGCCGCGGUAA